UACAGAGGGUGCGAGCGUUGUCCGGAAUCACUGGGCGUAAAGGGCGCGUAGGUGGCGACCCAAGUCGAUGGUGAAAGCUCGCCGCUCAACGGCGAGUCGGCCACCGAUACUGGGUUGCUUGAGCACUGUAGAGGCUAAUGGAAUUCCGGGUGUAGCGGUGGAAUGCGUAGAGAGUCCGGAAGAACACCGGUGGCGAAGGCGGUUAGCUGGGCAGUUGCUGACACUGAGGCGCGGACAGCGUGGGGAGCAAAGCAGG
rnacentral:rRNA from 1 species